rnacentral:rRNA from 1 species
UGCCAGCAGCCGCGGUAAGACGGAGGGGGCUAGCGUUGUUCAGAAUUACUGGGCGUAAAGCGCGCGUAGGCGGCCUGUCGAGUCGGGCGUGAAAGCCCGGGGCUCGACCCCGGAGGUGUGUUCGAGACUGGCGGGCUGGAGUCCGGGAGAGGGGAGUGGAAUUCCCAGUGUAGAGGUGAAAUUCGUAGAUAUUGGGAAGAACACCAGUGGCGAAGGCGGCUCCCUGGCCCGGGACUGACGCUGUGGCGCGAAAGCGUGGGGAGCAAACAGGAUUAGAUA